UACCACAGGGGGGCACUCACAUGAGCACGUACACCUCCCAGCAGGUGUGUGCAGCUGGGCACAGGGCUGGGCAGGGCUGGCGGGGAGCCGUGCUUUGAAAAGGGGAGAAAAACAAAGGAAGCAAACAAAAGCUGAGAAGAAAAGCUAUGGCAAAGCCAGGUGCCCUUGUGGAGAAGUCCUCUGACAGGAUGAAUCAUGAUCUGGGAGAAUUAAUAGCUGUAGACGGCGUCAGAUUGGAGUCCUUGGUCAUAAUACCUUGCAACUGAAAACUGAAAAUUAUUGCUGAAUGGUUCUUCUGUCUAGUCACUUGGAAGAUGAGGCUUUCUGAAGGUGGGAGAAACCUUGCUUAAUCAUGAACUCCAGUAUUCUGUUAGAAUAUAUUUUAAGUCGAAAAUCUUCAACUAGCUUUAGCUAAAUUCUAUUUCUGUGCUGGCAAAAGUCCUCAUAAGAAUGAAGAGAAUGUACAUUAAGCAAUAGGCCCAAGCGUUAGAUAAAAGUGUCUUGUAAUGGGUUAAAUUAAUUUUUAAUUUUGCUUGCCAAUUGGAAGGUAUAAUAAAACAUAUCCCCAAACCA
rnacentral:lncRNA from 1 species